rnacentral:tRNA from 1 species
GAAGGUAAAGCUCAGUGGUAGAGUGUGUGCUUAGCAUGUAUGAGGUCCUAGGUUCAAUCCCUGGUACCACCA